AGAGUUUGAUCAUGGCUCAGGAUGAACGCUGGCUGUAUGCUUAACACAUUCAAGUCGAACGGAUGUCUUCGGACAUUAGUGGCGGACGGGUGAGUAACGCGUGAGAAUCUAGCUUCAGGUUGGGGACAACAGUUGGAAACGACUGCUAAUACCGAAUAUGCCGAGAGGUGAAAGAUUAAUUGCCUGAAGAAGAGCUCGCGUCUGAUUAGCUAGUUGGUGGGGUAAGAGCUUACCAAGGCGACGAUCGGUAGCUGGUCUGAGAGGACGAUCAGCCACACUGGGACUGAGACACGGCCCAGACUCCUACGGGAGGCAGCAGUGGGGAAUUUUCCGCAAUGGGCGAAAGCCUGACGGAGCAAUACCGCGUGAGGGAAGAAGGCUCUUGGGUUGUAAACCUCUUUUCUUAGGGAAGAAAAAAAUGACGGUACCUAAGGAAUAAGCAUCGGCUAACUCCGUGCCAGCCGCCGCGGUAAUUC
rnacentral:rRNA from 1 species